UACGUAGGGGGCCAGCGUUGUCCGGAAUCAUUGGGCGUAAAGAGCGCGUAGGCGGCCAGAUAAGUCUGGUGUGAAAGUCAAAGGCUCAACCUUUGAAUGCCGCUGGAAACUGUCUGGCUAGAGUCCGGGAGGGGCGAGUGGAAUUCCUGGUGUAGCGGUGGAAUGCGCAGAUAUCAGGAGGAACACCGAUAGCGAAGGCAGCUCGCUGGGACGGUACUGACGCUGAGGUGCGAAAGCGUGGGGAGCGAACAGG
rnacentral:rRNA from 1 species